GUCUCUCCCUGAGCGCGGGGGAAGCGGCUGGGGAAGGCACUAGAGGAGUUGUCUGUGUCCCUGUGAUGGCAGGGCGGGGGAGUUGGCGCGUAGCACGUCCUCCCCUCCCGCGGGGCGGCGCGGAAAGGGGGCCGAGCCAGGUGCUGAGUCUCUCUUUCUACCCCCCAGCGCCCUAGGGAAAGGAAGGAGCAGCGCAGAGGCCACUGACGGGGAGAACGCUGCCCGCCCGUGAGGGGAAAGGGGGCUACAGAAGGCUUCCUCCCCCCUUCGGUGGAGCUGUGGGGAAGGGGCACUGAAGGCGGCGGGAACCGGGCCCGCAACUGAUUGGGAAAAUAACAAAUGGUUAAGUGAAGCCCUUGAUUUAAAAAGCCAGAGCAGGAAACUAUCCCUGACAUAUGGGAUUUGCCCUCCUCUUGGCUGCACGCAUUGGCCGUGCUCAUUGCAACGAGCCAGUUUCUGUCAGUGCAAGUGGCCUGUUGGAUUGUCCAUCAAAAGGGAAAUAUCAAUUCGCCGCUAAGGGAGUAGAUUCCCUUCCAUCCAUCACAAGGCUUAGCAGGUAGCCGCCUAGAAAUCAAUCACACACUAAUACAAGAGACACCACCCUUCUCCCAUCACAUUAUUACUCCAGCUCUUUAAGAAAAAAAUUGUUUGUAUGAUAAAUAUAUUCCUGGGUUUAUCAUCUGCAUCAUAAUCUUGGGCCACCUAAAAUGAUCCUUAAACCCACACAGCAUUGUAAACGUGCAACCCAAUCUAGCUGACAGCUGAUUACACUGAGGAAAGAGGCAGCGUGGAGAGCUGGAACAGGCGAACAUUUAAGAGGCAAGGGAGAGAGGGAGUCUGCUGCAGUCAGGAGAGAUUUACCUCAGACUACAGCUUCAAGACUUCUCCUCCACUCCAGGAAUUUCACAAAUAAAUUACUGUCCGCCUCUUUUUAACUGUGUUGUUGUAGGGUAAUGUCUUCAUGGAGUACUUCAAAUCUGUAUUGUACUUUAUUCCUGGCUCACCCAUAUAUAUAUAGACACUGUUGAACAGCCUUGUUUCGGACAGAUUUUGUGGCAUUUCUAUAAUAAAAUAUUAUGCCCAAUGAAGCUGA